rnacentral:misc_RNA from 1 species
CGCAGUCUGGUGCUGGGGAUGGGACGGCGCCGGAGACCUCGAAGGUCCCGACGUUGAACCUGUGUGGGAGCAAAUGCCGAACCAGACGAUCGACCCUAUCGUCGUCCGACACGAUCGCUCGUUUACCGCAACCUAGACGCUGUGGCGAGCAGUUCGUCGAGCCGGCGGAAGAGUCGUACGGAGCGGACCACAAGAUUCCCUUCCUCCUCGACGCAACACCUCUCUCUCCCUCUCAUCAGGCAUCUCCCAUCUCAUCCUCUACGCCUCGUCACGCUGUCAUCUCGCUCGUCGUCAUACGGAAACACUGCUUGUAUUGUUCACU